rnacentral:lncRNA from 1 species
UUUUUUUUUUUUUUUAAUACAGCCACACCUGUGACAUAUGGGAGUUUCAGAGGUUGAAUUGGAGCUGUAGCUGAGGCCCAUGCCACAGUCACAGUAAUGCUAGAUCCAAGCCACGUCUGAUAACUACACUGCAACUUGUGACAACACUACAUGCUUAACCCACUGAGUGAGGCCAGGAAUUGAACCCACAUCCUCACAGACACUAUGUUUGGUUCUUUUGUUUGUUUGUUUGUUUGUUUUUUGUUUUUUUUAGGGCUGCACUCACAGCAUAUGGAGGAUCCCAGGGUAGGGGUUGAAUUGGAGGUGUAGCUGCCUACCUACACUACAGCCACAACAAUGCCAGAUCUGAGUCGUGUUUGCGACCUACGCCACGUGUCUGCGACCUACACCACAGCUCACGGCAACACCAGAUCCUUAAUCUACUGAGCAAGGCCAGGGAUUGAACACGUGUCCUCAUGGAUACUAGUCAGGUUCCUUAACUGCCGAGCCACGACGGGAACUCCUAUGUUGGGUUCUUAACCUCCUGAGCCGCAACGGAAACUCCAGCAGUAGUUCUUUACUGCCAUCAAAUACUCAGUUAAAUUUUUCUUAAGUCUCAUUUUUCUUUUGUAGUAGGAUUAUUUGAAUCAGAAUCCUAAUAAGAUCCAUAUUUUGUGUUUCAUCAGUAAAUCUCAAAUCUUUUUCGUCUCUAAGUACUCUCCCCUCUCCUUUUAAAAUUUCCUUUAAAAUAUUUUGUUGUCUUACUGUUGAGGAAACGGAGUGAUUUGCACUGCUAACAUUUUGCCGAUUACUUCACUAUUAAAUUUAACUUAUCUCUCUGCUCUCCCUAUUGGAUUGAAUUAAAUGAAAUUGCAUUUUUGUAGUUCAAAAUGGUUAAGUAUUGGCCAUUUUAUAUGGUUCAACUUAAUGAUUAUAUCUAGAGGUAUAAUUAGAUUUUGCUUCAAAUUUUUGGCAAGAAUACUUCACGGUGGUGAGAACUUCAUGUUUCAUUAUCUCAGGUGCAAUAUAAUAGUUGACUUUUUUCUUUCUGUGAUGUGAAGUUCAGAUUGUGGGCUCAGGUAUCAUCAGUGUGACCCAGUCAUUAUGAAAUUCCUUAUCCGCUUUUCACCUAAUGGCUUCAGAGUCAUUAAGGAGCAUUGCUCCAUCCAUUGUUUCCUUACAAGUUGCAAAGUGGUGCUGUUCUUUAGUAAUGAUUUCUAAUUUUUAAAAAAGUUUACUUUCCAUCAUCAUCCAUUUGGUUACCCUGAGGUACAUAUUGUUCAUGCAGGAAAGGCAAGACAAAUGCUUAGUACUCUUCAUUUAGUUAAUAUUUUUCAGAAUUAUGUGUUGAAUUUUCUAAUAUCCUUCAGUGGUAACGAUUAAGUUGUCUUUUAAUUUUUAAUUUUUAGAAGUAUUUAAAAAUACAUACGAUGUUUUCAAAUCUCAUGAAAAUAUUGAUUAUGCUGCUCAAAUUAUCCUGUCUUUAGUUAGUGUUCCUUGAAGUUGGCUUUUGAGUACUCUUAAUCCAACUCCAGCAGACUUUGAUAACUCCCUUGAUUUUUCAAAAUGAAAAAUGUAUGUGUAUUGCUCCAGAUUUAGAAUCAGCAAGGUUGCUUAAUUCUGCUAUCUAGUGAUUGUACUGUUUGGCAUUCACAUCAUUUUUCUUCUCUAUAUUAAACAAUUAUCUAUUUAUCAUCUUUCUGUAUUAGGAAUACCAAUCCUUGUCUGUCAUGUAUGUUGCAAAAAUUUAUCUGUGUGUCUUUUGUCUUUUCCACUUUGCUUUUGAUUUAUUUUUGCCAUAGUUAAAAAAAUGUUUAUCGCAUUUAUUAAUCUUUCUUCUUUUGCUUAUUUGAAUGUCUUCAAGAUUAUAAAGAAUUUAACGAGGCUUUUCCCCUAAUAUUUGUAUGUUUUCAAUUUUUACAUUUAAAUGCCUUAUCCACUAGUAAUUGUCUCGAUCUGGAGUAUGAGAAACAAUCCAGUUUAACCUUUUUAAAAAUAAUCUUAAUAGUCAGUUACCCCAACAUGACAUGUUAAACAUUAUUCUUUCCUCCACCGAUUUGCUUAUUAAAUGUACUAAAAUGCUAAAUAUACAUAUGCAUCUGGUCCUAUUUCUAGAUAUUUAAUUCAAUUUUAUUGAUAUAUUUUUCAAUCCAUGUAAAAUAUCAAUUGUUUUACUCUUAGAGCAUUUGUAUUUUACUAUACAGUAGGGUUACCCACUUCUUAUCCCAUCCUAUUGCUCUUCCUUUUCAGAGAUAUUCAAGCUACUAUUGCACGUUAUUAUUUUUAAUAAUAGACUUUGUAAUCAACUUGUUUAGCUUUAGGAAAAAAUUGUAUUUUUUUUUUUUUACUGGGAUCACAUUACAUUUACAACAUAGCUUAGCAAGAAUUAGAAUCUUUCUUGCAUUGUCUUCUUCCUAAUCAAGAACAUCGUAUGUCUUUCCAUCUGUAAAAGUCUACUUUUAUGUCCUUCAAGAGUGUUUUAUAGUUUUGUUGUUUUAUUCAGUAGAUUUUGGUCUCUGCCCACUGGUGGGUGCAAAUUGGUCCCCGAUUCUCCAACUGCGGGGCCCUGGGUGUCCUGGGUCUAGUGCUUGCACUCUGGUUUAUGGGGCUGAGUCUUGGGCCCUCUGGUGGGGAGGGCCAUGUCCAGGGAUAGCUCUGGGCUCAGGGGCCCUUAAGCCAGACUGUCUACUGGUUAGUGGUGCUGUGUCCUCACCCAGUUUGUUGCUUAGGCUAGGGUGUUUUAGUACUGGUGCCCACAGGUUGUUUGGUGGGGGUGGGUCUGGGUCUUGAGGCAAAUAAGAUAGAGGAAGGAUUCCAAAAUGGUCCUUGCCAGCAUCACUGUCCAUAUGAUAGAACAAGCUCCCAAAAAUGGUUGCCUCCAGUGUCUGUGUUUCCAGGGUGAGUUCUAGUUGCCUCCUGAUUCUCCAGGAGAAUCUCUGAGAUCAGCUGAUAGGUCUGACCCAGGCUCCUUCAAAUUACUGCUUCUGCCCUGUGUCAUGGAGCAUGUGAGAUUUUGGGUAUGCCCUUUAGGUGUAGAAUCUCUAUUUCCCACAGCCCUAUUGGUCUCCUGAAAGUAAGUCUUGUUCACUUUCAAAGCCAAAUGAUUUGGGGGCUCAUUUUCCUGGUGCAGGACCCUUGGGUUGGGGGGCCUAAUGUGGGACUCAGACCACUCACUUCUUGAGCAGAAACUCUGCAAUGGUAAUUAUUCUACCUGGGGAAUGGGCCUUGACUAUGCCAUGUUUCUGUCCUUCCUCAUUGCAUUUCUUCUUUACAUCUUUAAUUGUAAAGGAUCUUUUUGAUGGGUUCUGUCCUUUUUCAUUGACGGUUGUUCUGUAAAUAGUUGUAAUUUUGGUGUGCCCAUGAAAAGGAAGUGAGCUCAAGGUAUUCUUACUCCUCCAUUUCUGCUGAUCUCCUGACUCAACUUGAUUCUUUAAAAAAAAAAAAAUCCUUAAUUUUCUUGGAGCAAAAUUUUCAUUCUACUUCCAGAAACAGUCCAUUGGAAGAUUAAGAACUUGCCUCAUAGAAAGCCAGGUCUGAGGCAGGGCUUGAAGUCAGCUCGUCUAAGAGUUCACAGCUUUUUUUUACUAAGUUAUUUGGCCUCCCUCUGCUAAAAGGGGUAGGUCAGAAAUUGUCCUAUACAGUCCUCAAGAGCCUCUUCUCCAGCUCAGAGUUUGAAAAAGAGGGAGAGUUUGGAGUCACUGUGGUUUUGGUGGGCCUGUUGACACAGGUCUUGAACUUUCUGCCCAGUUCAAACACACAAAGUGGGUCUCUCUCCCUGAUUAUUGUGGAUCUUGAAACAAGAAUGACAAAAAUGGAGUUCCUGUUGUGGCUCAGUGGAAACAAACUUGACGAGUAUCUAUGAGGACUGGGUUCGAUCCCUGGCCUCCCUCAGUGUGUCAAGGAUCUGGUGUUGCCAUGAGCUGUGGUGUAGGUCACAGGCAAGGCUCAGAUCCCAUGUUGCUAUGGCUGUGGUGUAGGCCAGCAGCAGCUACAGCUC